rnacentral:rRNA from 1 species
UAUGUUGAAUCAUGAUAAUUUUGUGGAUCGAUACGACUUGACGUAUUGACGCAUUGUUUGAAUAUCUGCCCUAUCAACUUUUGACGGUAGGAUCGAGGCCUACCGUGGUGUUGACGGGUAACGGGGAAUUAGGGUUCGAUUCCGGAGAGGGAGCCUGAGAGAUGGCUACCACAUCCAAGGAUGGCAGCAGGCGCGCAAAUUACCCAAUCCUGACACAGGGAGGUAGCGACAAGAAAUACCGAUAGAUAGCACGCUGUGUUAUUUUAUUGGCAUGACUUUUAUUUAAAAGUUGAAAGGAGUAACGAUUGGAGGGCAAGUCUGGUGCCAGCAGCCGCGGUAAUUCCAGCUCCAAUAGCGUACACGAACGUUGUUGCAGUUAAAACGCCCGUAGUCGGAAUUGUGAGAAGUAGUUGUUGGUUUCCUUCUUAUAUUGAGAAGGAGAUGAUUGGCAACUAUACUCAUAUUGAAAUAGGAUAAGAGUUCAUCUUGAUUGUAUGAAUUUUUAUUUUAUUUUUGUUUACUGUGAAAAAAUUAGAGUGUUUCAAGCGUUUUAUUUGAAAGGAUAGCGUAGCAUGGUAUAAAAGGAUCAUACAAGAUAUUUUACCUUUUGUAGGAAGGUAGAAAUCUUUUGAGGAAAAUGAAUCAACAGGGGUAGUUGGGGCCAUUUGUAUUCCAUAGUCAGAGGUGAAAUUCUUGGAUUUUUGGAAGACGAACGGAUGCGAAAGCGUUUGGCAAGGAUAUACCCAUUGAUCAAGGACGAAAGUUAGGGGAUCGAAGACGAUUAGAUACCGUCGUAGUCUUAACCAUAAACGUUGCCAUCUAAAAGAUGGUGUACUGUACUUUCAAAGUACAUCCUUUUUUUCCGGGAAACCAAAGUUUUUGGGUUCUGGGGGGAGUAUGGUCGCAAGAUUGAAACUUAAAGGAAUUGACGGAAGGGCACCACCAGGAGUGGAGCCUGCGGCUUAAUUUGACUCAACACGGGGCAACUUACCAGGUCCGGACAUUUUUAUGAUUGACAGAUUGAUAGCUCUUUCAUGAUUGAAUGGGUGGUGGUGCAUGGCCGUUCUUAGUUGGUGGAGUGAUUUGUCUGGUUAAUUCCGUUAACGAACGAGACCUUUUCCUGCUAACUAGUUUUUAU